rnacentral:rRNA from 1 species
ACGCUCGACACCUACGGGAGGCAGCAGUGGGGAAUAUUGCACAAUGGGGGAAACCCUGAUGCAGCGACGCCGCGUGGAGGAAGAAGGUCUUCGGAUUGUAAACUCCUGUUGUUGGGAAAAGAGGAUGGUACCCAACAAGGAAGUGACGGCUAACUACGUGCCAGAAGCCGCGGUAAUCUGAGCGGGCGUGCAAGGC